AGACUGUUAAUGCAGAUAGGGUUUAGAUAUGGUGGGAUAAGACAGGGCUAGGUUUAGAUAUGGUGGGAUAAGACUGUUAAUGCAGACAUGGCUAGGUUUAGAUAUGGUGGGAUAAGACAGGGCUAGGUUUAGAUAUGGUGGGAUAAGACAGGGAUAGGUUUAGAUAUGGUGGGAUAAGACUGUGUUAAUGCAGAUAGGGCUAGGUUUAGAUAUGGUGGGAUAAGACAGGGCUAGGUUUAGAUAUGGUGGGAUAAGACUGUGUUAAUGCAGACAGGGAUAGGUUUAGAUAUGGUGGGAUAAGACAGGGCUAGGUUUAGAUAUGGUGGGAUAAGACAGGGCUAGGUUUAGAUAUGGUGGGAUAAGACUGUGUUAAUGCAGAUAGGGCUAGGUUUAGAUAUGGUGGGAUAAGACUGUGUUAAUGCAGAUAGGGAUAGGUUUAGAUAUGGUGGGAUAAGACUGUGUUAAUGCAGACAGGGAUAGGUUUAGAUAUGGUGGGAUAAGACAGGGCUAGGUUUAGAUAUGGUGGGAUAAGACUGUGUUAAUGCAGACAGGGCUAGGUUUAGAUAUGGUGGGAUAAGACUGUUAAUGCAGACAGGGCUAGGUUUAGAUAUGGUGGGAUAAGACAGGGCUAGGUUUAGAUAUGGUGGGAUAAGACUGUGUUAAUGCAGAUAGGGAUAGGUUUAGAUAUGGUGGGAUAAGACCGGGCUAGGUUUGGAUAUGGUGGGAUAAGACAGGGCUAGGUUUAGAUAUGGUGGGAUAAGACAGGGCUAGGUUUAGAUAUGGUGGGAUAAGACAGGGCUAGGUUUAGAUAUGGUGGGAUAAGACUGUGUUAAUGCAGACAGGGCUAGGUUUAGAUAUGGUGGGAUAAGACAGGGCUAGGUUUAGAUAUGGUGGGAUAAGACUGUUAAUGCAGACAGGGAUAGGUUUAGAUAUGGUGGGAUAAGACAGGGCUAGGUUUAGAUAUGGUGGGAUAAGACAGGGCUAGGUUUAGAUAUGGUGGGAUAAGACAGGGCUAGGUUUGGAUGUGGUGGGAUAAGACUGUGUUAAUGCAGACAGGGCUAGGUUUAGAUAUGGUGGGAUAAGACAGGGCUAGGUUUAGAUAUGGUGGGAUAAGACAGGGCUAGGUUUAGAUAUGGUGGGAUAAGACUGUGUUAAUGCAGACAGGGCUAGGUUUAGAUAUGGUGGGAUAAGACAGGGCUAGGUUUAGAUAUGGUGGGAUAAGACAGGGCUAGGUUUAGAUAUGGUGGGAUAAGACAGGGCUAGGUUUAGAUAUGGUGGGAUAAGACAGGGCUAGGUUUAGAUAUGGUGGGAUAAGACAGGGCUAGGUUUAGAUAUGGUGGGAUAAGACUGUGUUAAUGCAGAUAGGGCUAGGUUUAGAUAUGGUGGGAUAAGACAUGGCUAGGUUUAGAUAUGGUGGGAUAAGACAGGCUAGGUUUAGAUAUGGUGGGAUAAGACAUG